UACGAAGGGGGCUAGCGUUGCUCGGAAUCACUGGGCGUAAAGGGUGCGUAGGCGGGUCUUUAAGUCAGGGGGGAAAUCCUGGAGCUCAACUCCAGAACUGCCUUUGAUACUGAAGAUCUUGAGUUCGGGAGAGGUGAGUGGAACUGCGAGUGUAGAGGUGAAAUUCGUAGAUAUUCGCAAGAACACCAGUGGCGAAGGCGGCUCACUGGCCCGAUACUGACACUGAGGCACGAAAGCGUGGGGAGCAAACAGG
rnacentral:rRNA from 1 species